rnacentral:rRNA from 1 species
UACGUAGGGGGCUAGCGUUGCUCGGAAUGACUGGGCGUAAAGGGCGCGUAGGCGGCGCAGUUAGUCAGGCGUGAAAGUCCUGGGCUCAACCUGGGAACUGUGCUUGAUACGGCAGAGCUAGAGGAUGGAAGAGGCUCGCGGAAUUCCCAGUGUAGAGGUGAAAUUCGUAGAUAUUGGGAAGAACACCGGUGGCGAAGGCGGCGAGCUGGUCCAUUACUGACGCUGAGGCGCGACAGCGUGGGGAGCAAACAGG